CUCUCGCUCAAAAAAUCGCCAUUCGAAGCUUACAAACAGAGACAUUGCGAUUUAUCGCAGCGUCUCGCAUUCUUUCUGGCUUUGGGAGAAAGUCCCCGGACAUCUUCGUUUCGACGGAGCUUGCGGAAACGCGCCGCCAUAGAAGCACAGCGGCUGACUUCUGCACCCAGGCCUGCGCCCUGCACCGGCCCUGCCCUCCGUUACAUCAAUUUGUUAAAGGCUCUGAAUCGCGUUCUCUGCCGCUCUCGGCCCCCUUGGAUGAAGAUAUGAGUCCGCUGCCGAGAGAUUGGUGUGUUUCGAGACAGACGAGUCGUCUGGCAAGUUGAUGGUUGGCAGACGCUUGGUGCUCGCGCGUGUGGUAUCGGGUCGCUGAGGAUUUUUGUCGAGAUUGAUAGGUAUGCGAUUGCUCGGCGAAAGCUGGGUUACUCGAUGGGGCUCAUUCUUGAUGCGAGG
rnacentral:RNase_MRP_RNA from 3 species